CUUUACUGUAGCCUGGGAUUGGGUUCGGGCUUUAACUGCGCAGGAUAGGUGGGAGACUAUGAAGGCAUCCUUGUGGGGAUGCUGGAGUCAACGGUGAGAUACCACUCUGUUAAGGCUAGAAUUCUAACUGGUUCCCGUGAAUCCGGGAACAAGACAGUUUCAGGGGGGCAGUUUGACUGGGGCGGUCGCCUCCUAAAGUGUAACGGAGGCGCACAAAGGUUUCCUCAGGCUGGUUGGAAAUCAGCCGAAGAGUGCAAAGGCAGAAGGAAGCUUGACUGUGAGAGUGACAACUCGAGCAGGGUGGAAACACGGUCUUAGUGAUCCGACGGCUAUGAGUGGAAGUGCCGUCGCUCAACGGAUAAAAGUUA
rnacentral:rRNA from 1 species